GCCGAGCUCAGCAGCGCGAGCUUGUAACCCGAGCGGGGGCUUUGAGGUGGUGUGGACGUUGGCGUAUGGCUGCGGGCUCGGGCCGAUUGCGCUCUUGCUGGCCCGCCCGUUCCAAGUUGGUAGUGGGUCGGCGGGGUUUGUGCGAAAGCUUGACCUCACGAUCCAUAAUGCGGCAGGCACAGCGUGAGGCUGGCUUCACAGAGCAGCGAUAACUGCCCGCUUCCAACGGUGGAAGGAUAACGGGCCGCUGCGCUCUCGGCCCAACAGGGUCUCGCAGCCUACUCCGACGAACCACCAUCUUU
rnacentral:SRP_RNA from 1 species